GACGAACGCUGGCGGCGUGCUUAACACAUGCAAGUCGAACGGUGAAGCGCCUUCCUUUUUGGUGGGUGUGGAUGAGUGGCGAACGGGUGAGUAACACGUGAGUAACCUGCCCCCUUCUUCUGGAUAACCGCAUGAAAGUGUGGCUAAUACGGGAUAUUCUGGGUCUGUCGCAUGAUGGGUCUGGGAAAGAUAUUGUUUCGGUGGGGGAUGGGCUCGCGGCCUAUCAGCUUGUUGGUGGGGUGAUGGCCUACCAAGGCGGUGACGGGUAGCCGGCCUGAGAGGGGGGCGGGCCACAGGGGGACAGGGACACGGCGCGAACCCCUACGGGGGGAGGCGGGGGGGAAUAUUGCAAGGGGGGCGCAAGCCUGAUGCGGCGCGGCCGGGGGGGGGAGGGGGCCCUGGGGGGUGGAAUCCUUUUGCGCAGGGAAAGGGGGCCUGCCUGGUUUGUGGGGGGGUGGAGGGAAGGGGUAAAAGAGGCCCGGCUAACCUAGUG
rnacentral:rRNA from 1 species